rnacentral:rRNA from 1 species
AUAAUCAUUAGUUUUUUAAUUGAAAGCUGGAAUGAACGGUUGGACGAGAAAAUAACUGUCUCAAUUUAAUUGAAUAUAGAAUUUUAUUUAUAAGUAAAAAAGCUUAUAUGAUUUUAAAAGACGAGAAGACCCUAUAGAGUUUUAUAUUUUAAUAUAUUAAUUAAAGUUAGUAUGUUUACAUUUUUGAUAUAGUAGGAUAUUUUGCUGGGGCAGCAGAAAAAUUUAAUAAACUUUUUUCAUUAUUACAACAUUGAUUUAUGGUUGAAUGAUCCAUUUUUUAUGAUUAUAAGAUUAAAUUACCUUAGGGAUAACAGCGUAAUUUUCUUUUAGAGUUCUUAUCGAAAAGAGAGUUUGCGACCUCGAUGUUGGAUUAAAAUUAACUUUUGGUGUAGGGGCUAAAAGGUUAGGUCUGUUCGACCUUUAAAAUUUUACA